GCUCACCUGACUUUCUAAAAACUUUGUGUGAAAUUGCUCUGAACAUUUUAAAAGGUAACAUUAAACUUUCAAUUUCUCAACACCAGAAACUGAACAAACAGAAGAUCAUCAGACUGUUUGCUGACAUAGAAACAGGUUUAAAAUGUAAACAGGCAGCUCUCAGGAGCCAGCGAGGAGGGUUCAUUCUCCCUAUUUUAGCAGCUCUUACACCUUGAUCAGAAACCUGGUGGGUGGAAUAAUCAGCAAAUAAAAUGUCUCAACAGAUGUAUCUGAUCUCACCGCAUCAGUUCAAGCACUGGAGUCAUCCAGAGACUUCUAUCAGACAAGCAGCUGAAGAGGAUUUGGAUUCUAAGAUGAGAGCGAUAUUGAAUGAAUCAAGACUAACUUCAUAUGAGAAAAUUAAAAAUAUGAUGCUUUGCUACAGAGAUAUUUGACUUUAAUCAAACAGGGACAGUUAGAGGAACCUCGGUUAACUGUGACUCUGCAACGUGACCAUGUUAAGGAUGACCCUGUGCUUGAAUCUGGAACUCGCGAAGACGAUUCUAUCCAGAAACCUCAAGAUGAAUUAGAUGAAACAGCGAAUGAAGUUGUAAAAGCCCUCCCUGAAAAGGAACGUAAAAAUGAUGAAUACAUUCUGAAAAAACUGUCUAGGAGUAACAGUGGUUGGACAUCCAGAGGAGAGUUUGUUUAUCAAGGACAUGUGACCAAGGGAUCUCAUCUGGUUGAUUUACUAAAAGCCCUUCUGCUCCAAAUUAAAAGAAAACAUCGAGGUCCCCCGCCUUCAGGUUGGACUUCAGGUUCUACACACUCUGAGUGAACUGAUCAUCCCUGUUUCUUCAGUGAAUAAUCCACAAGCAGGUGAACAAUAUCUAAAUGUCAAGACAGAGUCAGAUAGCAUAAAAAUCCCCCAAGAAGAGAACAAAGAUGAUCCUUUCCCCAGCAGUUGAUAGCGUAGAGCAUGAUGAAGCUGGAAAAGACUGCUGGCAACACUGAGCAUCAAGACAAAUAAACCAGCUCACAUCUGAAGUUAAAGUUUUGAUCUCAUGUCCUCCUUCCUGCAUCCUGACCGAUACACCAUCCUGUUUGCUGCCAAUAACUGAGAACCUAAUUAACUCUGACAGAAAUGCUUUUUUCUUUUAAACUUCUAAAUAAAACAUUUAUUGAUCAGA